rnacentral:rRNA from 1 species
GAAGAACGCGGGCGGCGUGCCUAAUACAUGCAAGUCGAACGCACAGUUUAUACCGUAGCUUGCUACACCAUAGACUGUGAGUUGCGAACGGGUGAGUAACGCGUAGGUAACCUGCCUGGUAGCGGGGGAUAACUAUUGGAAACGAUAGCUAAUACCGCAUAAUAUUAAUUAUUGCAUGAUAAUUAAUUGAAAGGUGCAAUUGCACCACUACCAGAUGGACCUGCGUUGUAUUAGCUAGUAGGUGAGGUAACGGCUCACCUAGGCGACGAUACAUAGCCGACCUGAGAGGGUGAUCGGCCACACUGGGACUGAGACACGGCCCAGACUCCUACGGGAGGCAGCAGUAGGGAAUCUUCGGCAAUGGACGAAAGUCUGACCGAGCAACGCCGCGUGAGUGAAGAAGGUUUUCGGAUCGUAAAGCUCUGUUGUAAGAGAAGAACGGGUGUGAGAGUGGAAAGUUCACACUGUGACGGUAGCUUACCAGAAAGGGACGGCUAACUACGUG